GAAUUUUAUAUUUUAUGUGUUUUUUAGUUCGUCCUUUAUUGGAUAUGUUAUGAAUAUAUAUAUUAGAUUAUUAAGUUAUAUUGGAUAAUAUAUAGUUUUGAAAACUAUAAAAGAGUGUUCGAUUCACUUG
rnacentral:tRNA from 1 species